rnacentral:rRNA from 1 species
CACAAGCGGUGAAUGAUGUGGAUUAAUUCGAUGCAACGCGAAAACCUUACUACCCUUGACAUGUCCGGAAUCCCGAAGAGAUUUGGGAGUGCUCGCAAGAGAACCGGAACACAGGUGCUGCAUGGCUGUCGUCAGCUCGUGUCGUGAGAUGUUGGGUUAAGUCCCGCAACGAGCGCAACCCUUGUCAUUAGUUGCCAUCAUUUGGUUGGGCACUCUAAUGAGACUGCCGGUGACAAACCGGAGGAAGGUGGGAUGACGUCAAGUCCUCAUGGCCCUUAUAUCCUGGGCUACACACACGCUACAAUGGCAGAUACAAUAGGUCGCGAAACCGCGAGGUGGAGCCAAUCCUCAAAGUCUGUCUCAGUUCAGAUUGUAGGCUGCAACUCGCCUGCAUGAAGUCGGAGUUGCUAGUAAACGCAGGUCAGCUAUACUGCGUUGAAUACGUUCCCGGGGUUU